GGAGAGGUGGCCGAGAGGCUGAAGGCGCUCCCCUGCUAAGGGAGUAUAGGCUUUAAACCCUAUCACGGGUUCGAAUCCCGUCCUCUCCGCCA
rnacentral:tRNA from 5 species